UAAAAUAGAGUAGCUUAAAAUCUAAGCAAAAGCAGCAAAAGUAGUUCUGGAGUGUGGCACGGCCGUGCCAAGCCUAGCACGGGCCGUGCCAAGUUUCUGACUUGAGGGAGAUAUAUUUUUGUCUCCGAAUCUUCGUAUUUUCGUACCAAAUCAGCUCCAAAACCCCUUUCUUUUGCUCCAAGACUCAAUCCAUCAAAUAUUCGUUCCUGAAAUAUAACAAUAUGCAAUUGUAGUAAAAUAGUUCAAGAAAGGAAAUAAUAUUAAUAUAAAAUAAACUUAAA
rnacentral:lncRNA from 1 species